CACGUAGGGUGCGAGCGUUGUCCGGAAUUAUUGGGCGUAAAGAGCUCGUAGGCGGUGUGUCGCGUCGGCCGUGAAAACUUGCAGCUUAACUGUGGGCGUGCGGUCGAUACGGGCAUCACUGGAGUUCGGCAGGGGAGACUGGAAUUCCUGGUGUAGCGGUGAAAUGCGCAGAUAUCAGGAGGAACACCGGUGGCGAAGGCGGGUCUCUGGGCCGAUACUGACGCUGAGGAACGAAAGCGUGGGGAGCGAACAGG
rnacentral:rRNA from 1 species